AACGGAAGUUUUCGGAUGGAAGUUGAAUUGACUGAGUGGCGGACGGGUGAGUAACGCGUGGGUAACCUGCCUUGUACUGGGGGACAACAGUUAGAAAUGACUGCUAAUACCGCAUAAGCGCACAGUAUCGCAUGAUACAGUGUGAAAAACUCCGGUGGUACAAGAUGGACCCGUGUCUGAUUAGCUAGUUGGUAAGGUAACGGCUUACCAAGGCGACGAUCAGUAGCCGACCUGAGAGGGUGACCGGCCACAUUGGGACUGAGACACGGCCCAAACUCCUACGGGAGGCAGCAGUGGGGAAUAUUGCACAAUGGGCGAAAGCCUGAUGCAGCGACGCCGCGUGAGUGAAGAAGUAUUUCGGUAUGUAAAGCUCUAUCAGCAGGGAAGAAAAUGACGGUACCUGACUAAGAAGCCCCGGCUAACUACGUGCCAGCAGCCGCGGUAAUACGUAGGGGGCAAGCGUUAUCCGGAUUUACUGGGUGUAAAGGGAGCGUAGACGGUAAAGCAAGUCUGAAGUGAAAGCCCGCGGCUCAACUGCGGGACUGCUUUGGAA
rnacentral:rRNA from 1 species